rnacentral:rRNA from 1 species
UACGAAGGGGGCUAGCGUUGCUCGGAAUCACUGGGCGUAAAGGGUGCGCAGGCGGCUCCGCAUGUCGGGCGUGAAAUCCCCGGGCUUAACCGUGGGAAUUGCGUCCGAAACUAUGGAGCUGGAGUGUGGCAGAGGGAGGUGGAAUUCCACGUGUAGCGGUGAAAUGCGUAGAGAUGUGGAGGAACACCGAUGGCGAAGGCAGCCUCCUGGGCCAACACUGACGCUCAUGCACGAAAGCGUGGGGAGCAAACAGG